rnacentral:lncRNA from 1 species
UCUUCAAUCGUGGGCUCACUAAACUAUAUUCUGAGUAUCCUGAGUACUGAUCAUCAUGCAGCACACCGAGAUACCUUGGGCUAAACUAUCUGCAUGAUUUUGAGGAACUGGCCACUGACUUGCAACUGACGUGCACAGCGAAGAUCAUCUUUCAGGCCAACCUCGUUCAGUUCCCAGGGUCCUUUCUCUUCCUCCAUCGAGGAAGUCCUAUUUCUCGAAUGUGAGCGACCGUUCAUUCCCAUACAAAUCCUAAUAUUUCGCUUACUGAUAGCCUUAAACAUUUUGACACCCGCACAGACUCACCAAAACUCACCAUUUAAGCAUGUUAUAAGGAACUUAGUUACAGGAAAAGUAUUCCUGAUACAUCACUCUCCUUACGACUGCUCCCUAAUUUAAUGUGAAUUUGUCUACGUUUGUCAAGCCCUAAGUUACCUGGUGAGACCAAAUUGCCAUUUUCUUCUUACAGUGAUAUAAAUCGUCCCCUCCAGAGCGAGAUGCGAGAUGCAACAAGGGGUGAGACGGGCACAAGUGGAGGAGCACGAAAAAAAACGGCAGUCCCUUUUUCGGCGUUGUAUCCCUCAUACGUAAAUCGCCACCCUUUGCGUCCUCCUCACACCCGCGAAUAAGUGACACUUCACUGUUCACGCUUUCUUCCUCUCGCUCUUAAAUUUCCCUUCGCGCUCUGCUUGUGCUAGCAAAAACACAACGCGUUUAUAAUAGCGCGCUCUCCCAACAGUUGUCUCGCAUUUGUCUCUGCUCGGCUAUAAUACGCAUUUUUGUUAGAAAGAUUACAACGUCUAUCUCGCAAGCUAUGUCUGAGGAGUGGGGUUGAUCCUAUGCUUCCAGAUACUGCAUGGGUGUUUCUAGUGACUGAUGUAUACAGAUUAUGUGUGGAAGAUCAGACAAAUCUUAGUAGAGUUGGGUUUGUUGUACCCUGUAAAAGAAUUCGGACACUCCAAAAGGAUUAAAUGAACCAUAAUUGUCCUGUAGAAAACAAUCUACAGUUUGGUCUUCCUCCGGCUCAGGUCAACUGCAAUUGCAUAAUUAUUCCAAUUUAAACACUUUGAAAUUCAGCUUUUAACAAUAAAUCUUAGCAUACUGAUCUCAGGAAUUUACAGUAGAGUUUGCAGGGUAGUUUCCACAGGGGCAAACAAAGGUGGGUAUUGCUUAAAUAUUUAAAAAGAAAGUCUUAGUGUUCCCCUACUAAUAUUUUGACCAGCACUUCUGGAAUGCAUUAGGCUGGACAUCUGAAACAAAGGAUCUAGGAAUAGGAUUACCAGCUUAGCAAAUACUGCAAUACAGCAAAAACUGAACAACUAAAUGUGUAUUUAUUAUUUAGCUACAGUCCAACAAGGACAGUUUUUUCCAAACCUACCUGAAACACACUAAACUAAUUCAUUAAGGUCUUAUUAAAAGAAAAGAUACUACUACAAAACUCAAAAGAAAUAGAGAAAGUUUGCAGUGGAAAGAUAACAUUUUUCAAAUCCAGUUUCUUUUCACAGAGAAAGAUGCACCUCCCACAAUAAGCAUGUUCCGAUAAACUUUCUAAAUUAAGGUUUUUCUUUGUAUUAUUUUAGAAUGAUCACAAUUUCUUGUGUUUCUGGUAAUAC